rnacentral:pre_miRNA from 1 species
CAUUUCAACUGAAAAAGUCAUCAACUUCAAGUUGUAUAACUCAACAAGAUCUAUAACUUUUAUUUUGAUCAUUUCUUCAUCCGGUAAAGUGAUAGUAAUAUUGUUCAUAAAAUUUGCAUAUCUCUCAUUUGCAUAUCUCUCAUUUGGUUUUAUAAAAUAUAAGAGAGAGAUGUAAAUUUUAUGAACAAUGUUACUAUCACUUUGUCGGAUUAAGAAAUGAUCAAAAUAAAAGUUGUAUGUCUUGAUGAGUUGUACAACUUUUAUGUUCAUGACUUUUCAGCUGAAAUU